rnacentral:rRNA from 1 species
CCUACGGGGUGCAGCAGUGGGGAAUAUUGGACAAUGGGCGAAAGCCUGAUCCAGCCAUGCCGCGUGUGUGAAGAAGGCCUUCGGGUUGUAAAGCACUUUCAGUGGGGAAGAAAGCCUUGGGGCUAAUACCCUCGAGGAAGGACAUCACCCACAGAAGAAGCACCGGCUAACUCCGUGCCAGCAGCCGCGGUAAUACGGAGGGUGCGAGCGUUAAUCGGAAUUACUGGGCGUAAAGCGCGCGUAGGCGGUCUGAUAAGCCGGUUGUGAAAGCCCCGGGCUCAACCUGGGAACGGCAUCCGGAACUGUCAGGCUAGAGUGCAGGAGAGGAAGGUAAAAUGCCCGGUGAAGCGGUGAAAUGCGUAGAGAUCGGGAGGAAUACCAGUGGCGAAGGCGGCCUUCUGGACUGACACUGACGCUGAGGUGCGAAAGCGUGGGUAGCAAACAGGAUUAGAUACCCUUGUAGUC